GAUUUGCGGCCUUGUCAGACAAAUGAGGAUUUCUGAUGCAGAAUUUGGGCUUGAAAUGUGAUGUCAGCAGCACAUAAGAUACAGUGCCCUCCGUAAUGUUUGGGACAAAGACCCAUCGUUUAUUUAUUUGCAUCUGUA